GAUGAACGCUAGCUACAGGCUUAACACAUGCAAGUCAACUGUGGCGGACGGGUGAGUAACGCGUAAAGAACUUGCCUCACAGAUAGGGACAACAUUUGGAAACGAAUGCUAAUACCUGAUACUGUGAGAGAGCUUUACGUCCCAUUAGCUGGUUGGAGAGGUAACGGCUCACCAAGGCGAUGAUGGGUAGCCGGCCUGAGAGGGUGAUCGGCCACAAGGGGACAGAGACACGGCGCUUAAUCCUACGGGAGGCAGCAGGAGGGAAGAAUGGACAAUGGACCAAAGUCUGAUCCAGCAAUUCGGUGUGCACGAGGAAGUUUUCGGAAUGUAAAGUGCUUUCAGUUGGGAAGCGGUACCAACAGAAGAAGUGACGGCUAAAUACGUGCCAGCCGCCGCGGUAAUAC
rnacentral:rRNA from 1 species